UGACUCAUCUCACUCAGCAGGGGGAUGACCCAUCCUCAGGGAGUGAAGGAAGGGGAGGAGGUGACUCCAGCCGAUCGCCAUGGAAAUAACUGCCAUGAGGACCGAGGUUUGAUCUGUACUGUUGUCUGCUGAACCUGUUCUGCUGAUGAGCUCGACAUGAGCAAUGGUGACCUAGACCCGUGGUCAGGAGAUAGAGUUACUGAAGAUCUCUCUGAUACUCUGGUGGCAGUCAGCAUCCCAGAGAGGGUCCGUUAUUUAGAUCUGCGAUCCAGCACCCACAUAGAUCCGCCAUCCUUGCAGAUAGCUCGCUCGGUGGAAGUCAGACACAUGAAGCAAUGAAUCUCAACUUUCUAUGGCAACUACAGAAGGCAUCCCUGAGCAACUUUUAAAUAUCACCAUUUUUACUCUCCUUUUUUGUUCCCUCCACCUACGUACCCGUAUUCAC
rnacentral:lncRNA from 1 species